UUUUUUGUCGUCAUAACUUAACCUGUAUGGGCAAAAGCUUUUGCCUUCCAAUAUAAAAGGAGAAUAAAUAAAAAAUCAUAACAUAACCUUAAAAAAAUAUGUCAAAAACACAAUGACAAAAUAGAUAUUAUUUACAAUUCUCCUUAAGAUAAAUAUAUAAAAAGAAGUAUAAAUGAACAUAUUGAAUCACUUCAAGUAGAAACUACAUAAAAGCUAUUUUUAUCAGGUAUUUCAUCGCCAGCAAGUUGCCAACACUUCCGGCGGAUGUGCGAGAGGAGAUACAACGGCAUCCGGCGCUAUUCUCGUAAUAAAAAUGUUUGUUUGUU